GGGUUUUAUAGAAUUUUUAAAUAACAGUUUUUUUUUUGAAAACUAAAAUGAAUUACAUAUGAACCACCGAAUUUGGCAAUUUAACUGCGGGUCGGAUCGGGUUAGGUUUCAAAACAUUGAAUAUAAUGUUUCAUUUGUAAUAUCUAAGUGUAGAUACAAUUAAAAUACAAAUUUAUAUCAAAUAAAUUUGGAAUGUUUCGAAAAUAAUCCCGCGCUUUGAAAGCGCGAGUCAAAAUCUAGUAUAUAGUUAAACUACAUUUCUGGUUUAGUGGGAUGGACCAACGUUAUUAUUAACUUAAUUAUUGCUAUGUCUCAAACUAAAUUAAACGCAUGGUUAAUUCUCUAAACUUUGUUUUCUUCCCGAAAACUUAUAAACAAAAUUAACCUUUCUUGCAUUUUAAUAAAAUACUCUUAGCAAAUCCAAAAAGAACAAGGUAAUUAACGUCGGCAACUGAUAGCACAUUAAAGCCAUUUUUUGUAACUGAAGAAAUUAUGUUUUAAAAUGGUGACUCUGUAAUUUGUUUUUAUCUGCAGAAUUUUGAAUAAUGAGAAAACUAUAUAGGUGUAGAAUUAAGAAUUGAAAACAAAAGUUUCCUUUAGUAAUGUAAAACGUAUGAGAUUUCUGUGUUGAGUUGCUUUAUUUGUUUCCGCCUUGUUUCACCUGUUUAUUGUCUCUGUGUCAUUAAGAAAACAAUUGAAAAUUAAAAAGUAAAACGCGGAAAUACUUAUUUUAAUUACAACAAAAGAAGAGCAGGUUCCAUCGUGAAAGACCAAAAUUCAUACGCAAAAUUCAAGAUCUUUAGUAGGUUUGUCGUUGCCGUUUAUAGGCUAUGAGAUUGACCACUAUAAACUGCAAUGUACUGUUGAAUCCAAUUCCCCUCCACUCAAAAUGUCUCUCUCUCUAGACAUCUGUCCCGUUGCAUGUAAGAGGGAGAGAGAAAAGAGACAAAACUCAAAAACAGAGAUAAGACUCUUGAAGAGUGUGAACGACAGAGAGGGAUAAUGUUUUUUAUUUUCAUCUUUUGUUAAUCUCCCUUCUCCUCUCUUCUCUUCUCUUCUUCUCUCCUCUCCCCGAAUAUCUCUCUCUUUGUUCUUUCUUUUUUGUUAAUUUAUUUUCCCUUCUUGAUUUGGUCAAACCCUAGAUUUGUUUUCGCAAAGGGUAUCCAAAAAUGAAUAUAACUUUCCUCUUUUCCUUUGAUUAUAAAUAUUCCCUCUGGUUCUUGCUUAUCCUAAGCCUCUCAGAUCUAACUCUACAUCCCAAACCCAUUUCCAAUGGUCGAUCUCUUAUUUCAGAAUCUGUGUAGGUAAGGACAUUGAAUGAGUUUUGGGAUAAAUUUUAGAGAAACGCAUAGAAACUGACAGAAGAGAGUGAGCACACAAAGGCACUUUGCAUGUUCGAUGCAUUUGCUUCUCUUGCGUGCUCACUGCUCUAUCUGUCAGAUUCCGGCUCCGAUUCUUUUCGGUCUGUUCACGUUUUCUUCUUUAAUUGUGUUCCCAUUCUCUCUCUCUUAUGUUCUUCAUCCCUCCAAAUUAAGGUAAUUGAUACGAUCUCGCUCCUAUAAUAUGUAACGAUUUGGUUUCUAAAUGCAUACGACUUUACUCUUUCUUUUCUCCUUUGUUCUACUUUAUAUUUUAUGAGAUCAUUAGUUUCGAAAAAGCUUUAAUCUAAAUGUUUAUGGUUCGGUUAAACAAGAUUAAUAUGGGACCAUUAACGUUAACCGUUCUUUCUUAGGCUGGUCCUAACUCUUUUGAAUCCUUAAUUUUCUCAAUUCAAGCUUAGAUUAUUAAUCAUGUGGUUUUGUAUCCUCUCUUUUUUUCGGUUUCCGCUAGCUUUCAAAAUCUGUGAUUUAGUAUCUUGAUUCAUAAAUAUGUAUAGAUCUAUUAUUUGCUUCAUAUGAUGACAUCUGUGGAUUUGCAAAUUACUGUUCAUGAUCUUCAGCUGUUGGUUUUCUAGAUUAUUUAUAUUGUAUGCUUGUACAUUUUGCUUGAUGUAUAACCACUAUAUUUAUAUAGAUGGUAUCUAAUUUAUAUACCAUUGGUUCCAUGUGAUCACGUUGUGAAUCUUUACGAGAAUAUUCUUGUGGACUUGGUUCUUGAUCUAAGAACACGUUCUUUGCAUUUAAUUUUCAAAACGACCACAGGCUCAUCAAUUUGUGUAUUCUUUUCGAACUUUUAAGUAGUAAAUAUGGGUUCCAGAAGCGAUUUGUAGAUAUGGCCAAUUCUAUAUAUAUAGUGGUUACGAAAUCUACAGUAAUUGAAUUUCUUUCUGAAUUAUGUAUGCGUGUCUAUGACUGAAUGCUUAUGUAUGCGUGUCUAUGACUAAAUUUUGAAGAAAAGUAAAAUGUGACUUUCCCACAUUUAAAUGAAUUAUGUGUUUUUCUUUCUGCCAAAAUACUAUUUUCAAGUCUUGGGAUUUGUUUCUAAGUGAUGGGGUGAUUAAUAUUCUUCAAAUCGUGUCAAAUAUCUACAAAUAUUUUUUCUCGUGUUGCUAGCUAGGUGUCUCUUGUCAUGCAGGUCUUGCUUUCUCCUUUUUCUCAUUUGUUCCCACGUUUUCUUGCGUAGAAACCAGUUAAUGGACUAUUUUCAGACAAACCUAGGUUUGUAAUUCCUGUAGUUAGCAACAAAUAGGUUUUAACUUCGUGAAGAGAAAGAUAGUUCUUACUUGGGGAGUGUGAAAUGUGUUUUGAAUCCUCAGAGGCAUGUUUAUAAGAAUGAUCGAUAUAUGAGGUUGAGCUUCUCAAACUUUUCUUAACUGGGUCUGAUGGAAAAUGGUUUACGGAGUACUUAUAUUUUGCAUUCCAUUAUGUAACAAGUUGUCACCAAGACUUUUGUUUGCAUUCAUCUGAGAAAUUAGAGUCACACGGGCGUUAGCCAGGAAUAGGGAAGACAAUCAAAGAGACACUAACAUAUAUUUUUAAGGUGUCAUCAACGGUGCCAGAUUGUAAUAUGCAGCAAAUCCUCUGUCUUGAUGAGAGGGAUAUUUUAUGUUACAAGCUGGUACUAUUUAGUAUUGAUCGACCUUUUGGUGCACUUUUGUUCAUCAUGUUUCAGAUUUCGAUUGUCUAUCUUGGUCGCUGCCCGAUUCAAAUUGUUCAUGGGAAGGCAAAGACCGAUGCGGUGUUUGCGGUAACCUAUAUAUUUAUAAUCUUUUGGGAUAUUGAUUUAGGGUUUUUGUGCUUUGUUCUAUCAACUGAUUUCCUUGAUGCUGAUUGUUCUAGUUCACAUUUGUAAUAUUAAACAUUGUUAGGUUAAUUAUUGUCAGGUAAGUAGGAUCUGGAUAGGAUUGUUGUUGUGCAAGUCCACUAUCGAUACAUUGAUAAUUUAGUUGGUUACAUUUUGAAAAUGUCCAAGUUUAAUGGUAUAUGUCAUCUCAAGAAAAUUGAAGUCUUACCUAGAAAGUUAGAAAAUGUCAAACGAAACAAAUCCUAGCGAUUGGCUCUUGUUGAUGAUAUACAACACAUCUUUUUUUUAUUCCUUUUAACUUUUCUCUAAUUUUUUUAGUGUAAUACAAAAGUAGAUCCUCCUUUUCAGAAAUAUAAAUAAAUUAAUACGUACUAGUCAGCCGUUUUAAAAUAAUCAAAUAUUAUAUCCUCUUUAAGUAAUACAAAGUCAUAUUUAUCAAUCAAGUAGAUGAUAAUAAAAACAAAGAAGUCACAACAUGUAAAUUACAUACUUAAUUACCUCUUUAAACUUAAUCAGAAAGUUCUCUCUGAUUAAUUAACAAUAAUCGUAACAUCAUAAUUAAUUGUAGUGUAGUCUUUUGCAAACAAAGGUAAAUACAGUAUUUAUCGAAGAAAAACCUUUUGUAGUCUUUAUAUAUAAAAUACACUUUCAAUCUCUUCUGGGGGUGACAGCUCGGAUUCCACGUCAGAAAUAGGAAGUCUACAGCAUUGACACGUCGGAUCCGCACCGUUUCACUAAAGCGUUGCUCUGUCCGAACGGGCUUCACGUGGGCUUUGUGUUGCGCUUCGUCUGCGGCCCUAAUCAGUUGCAAUGCGAACCCCUUUGUGUUCUUCGUUUCUCUUCGAUCGCGCAGUGACGAUCCAGUUAUCUAAGCAUCACACUACUUGGUCAUCGUUCAUCUUCCUAUCCAUCAGUUGCGAUUGCAUUCGGUAUAUAUAUGCACUUCACGGAACCCUCAAACAAUCUAAUCCUUCCACAAUCUUCUUCAGAUCCUCAUUUAUCUUCUUUCUCCAUUAGAAGCGAUUGUUUCUAAGAGACCUCUUAAUUGACAUUUCAUCCUAGAUUCUUAUUAAUGGCAGUCUGUAAGUUAAAUUUCCCUUUUUGUUCUUUCUGUGCACAUGGAAUUUACAUUUGCUUAAUGUUUUUUGCAUCUGUGUUUGACGUUUGAAAAUCUGAAUCCGAUUUCAAAGUCAUGGAUCUGGAAAUUAAUGAUGCGCUGGCGAUGGAAAUUUGUCGUGAUACCAGCAUAAAUUCACGGGACGGUUGGCAUUCCUCUCCGGCGUGUAAGUUUAUGGAAACAUAACACUUUUUCAUUCUUUAUGAAUCUCCAAGAAAUAAAGGAAUCUUUGUGAUAUACAAUUUUGAUUGAUCUUUAACAGGCUAAGUUGUUUACAUUCAGAUAGAAUCGUUCAUCGUUAUAUGAAAAAGAUACAUGCUUUUGGAUUAACAGAGCAAUCUAUGGCUUGCUAAUUUUGGAGUGGCUAGGAUUGGAGCUCAGAAUCCAAAUGACAUGACUGAAGAAACUUGUACUCUUGAUGGCUCCAAAGUGAGAACGUCUCAGCCGAGAAGAUCAAGAGCUGAUGCAGAAGCUUCCUGAUUCCAGCAAAUCAAACGCCGUUGAACAACAUAAAAUCUGUUUCACCCAAUUCAAAACUCUCCUUCUUUUACAGGAUUCAUUUGGUAAGAAGCUGAUGGAUAGGAUCCGGCCAACCCAACCCCGGUCCUGCACAGUACUCUUCGUCCGCCUCUACCACGGUGUCUCAACCCAACUCCGGUUCCUGCCAUGUUGAUGCAGAUCUACAGCGACACUAUAGGUGUUGCCAAAUCUGUACUUUAAUCCUCCUAAGUUCAAUUUCAUGCCGCAAAUUUAGAGACACGGUGUGUCCUUCUUUUUCUCUCUGUUCAUAUACACUUGGAUAUGUAAUAUAAGAAAUUAAAAAUGCUUCUCUUUUGUUGUUCUAUGUGACCAGAAAAGACAGAACUCUGAACAAGUAGAAGAACAAGAUCCACUUAUUAGUUGUUCUUCUUUGAUGUAGUUGAACACAGUUUUGUAUGUUGGAAAUGACUUUGAUCGGCCAGUUUUGUAAAGAGUAUUCACUAAUUAGCUGACGCCUUGGAUCAUGUUAGGUUUUGCUCUUAUUCACUGCCUUUUAACCACUCUUCUGGUGAAAAUUAUAUACACUGCUAAGGAAGAGUUCGAGAAUCUGUGUUUAAUUCUUGGUAUUGAGCUUGAUGCUGUGACAACUGAGAAAGCAAUCAACAGGAAAGAAAAGCAUAUAGAAGAAGAAGAAGCUGAUGAUGACGAAGAAGUCAUCUACAAAUAAUAUAUCAAUCUGGCUGUGUAGUGUAUAUACACUGGUAUAUAUUUAUAUGAUAUUUUUUAAACAAAUUUCGAGACUAAUGUUUAGGUUAAAUUUUAAAAGCAAUAAAAUCAGUCAAAUGUAUUAUAAACAAA